CAACCAAAGCUGGCGACCGGCGCACGGGUGAGUAACACGUAUCCAACCUGCCGAUAACUCGGGGAUAGCCUUUCGAAAGAAAGAUUAAUACCCGAUGGUAUAAUCAGACCGCAUGGUUUGAUUAUUAAAGAAUUUCGGUUAUCGAUGGGGAUGCGUUCCAUUAGGCAGUUGGUGAGGUAACGGCUCACCAAACCUUCGAUGGAUAGGGGUUCUGAGGGGAAGGUCCCCCACAUUGGAACUGAGACACGGUCCAA
rnacentral:rRNA from 1 species